UUUCUACUCCCUCCGUCCGAAAAUACUUGUCAUCAAAAUGGAUAAAAAGAGAUGUAUCUAAAACUAAAAUACGUCUAGAUACAUUUCCUUUUAUCCAUUUUGAUGCCAAAUAUUUCCGGACGGAGGGAGUAUUUG
rfam:Triticum aestivum genome assembly, contig: Triticum_aestivum_CS42_TGACv1_scaffold_546207_6DS